rnacentral:lncRNA from 11 species
CGUUAUUCUUGCUGGUUAGGUUAAUUGAACCCAUUCUAUGUUAAGAUAAAAAUAACAAAGGAUUGGAGCUAGAUUUACUAUGAGCAGCAGAUCCUAGCUCAUGGGGUACUCUGAGUUUAGGAUGUGAUUUCCAUUGACUCAUCCUUCCAGCUGCACCCAGCUGCCUAAAAAAAAUGCUCUGGUGAUUUGGGAAUAUGCUGGAUCCAACACAGAGAAUAUUUUAGCAUCUUGAAAACAAACAAAUGUAUUGAGAAAUUUCUUUAUAGGCAAUAUUUUACUUUUUAAACCAUAUUCAAGAUGGCACUGUGGUAGGCUGGUCUUUUGCGGGCUCCGUGUGGUCGUUAGCUUUUUAACAGCCUUUUAACAGUUUUUUUUAAAACAACUUUUAACAAUUUUGCCGCUCUCUGGACUAGAAGACCUGGGACUGAGAUCCAGGGUAGCAAAGGUUGCCUGGGAGGACCAGUCCUGAUGCCAUUGAAAGUGUGAGAGAGGAAAAAAUGGAGCGCGAGCCCAGCGUGGAAGGAGGGAGAGGGAGUCCUCCCACCACCACUAAGACCAGCAUUUGAAAAUCUUUAACUCUACCCGGCAGCCAAAAAAUCUAAGGACCUUUACUUCCGCAUCAUACCUGCUGAGACCACCACCAUUCUGGGGGCAAGCGUGUUCAUGCAGGUUCUGUUGUCGGUUUUGGGGAGGCGGUGUGCUUUGGCAGCUGGGCGCCCCUGCAGUUGCUGCUGGGUCACUGUUGGGGCUGCUGCUUUGCUGCUGCUGCUGCCGUGGAGCAUUGAUGUUGCUGCUCCUCCUUGCAGCAUCAGUGCGAGGCGUUGGUGUGAGGGUUAGAACUUUGUUCGACCCUGCUUGUGGGCCGGUGGUCGGCAGGGGAAGUGCGGGGCGUGGCUGUUGUGUCGGCUGCCUAUCGCUGCCUCCUGCGCCUGGCCUUGCCUUCUCCUUGCUGCCCUGGAGUGGCCAAACUGGACGGACUGGAGUGGCAGCCGGCUGGUGGAGGUGUUGCCCAGCUGCUACUAGUGCCCAGCUGGACAGGCCGCCCUCGCUGAGGAUCUGGGCUUGCUGCUGUUACCAUCGUUGCAACAGAGGGAAGGAAAGGGAAGGGUGCAUGUGCCACCUUUGGCGUUUAGCCUCCAACAACAUUCUGGUGAAACUUUGACUGCUUCCCUGGGCUGGAAGAGGAUUGGAUUUGGAAUAACUAUGCGGGA